ACAUGCAGUCGAACGAUGAUGCCCAGCUUGCUGGGUGGAUUAGUGGCGAACGGGUGAGUAACACGUGAGUAACCUGCCCCUGACUCUGGGAUAAGCGUUGGAAACGACGUCUAAUACUGGAUAUGAUCACUGGCCGCAUGGUCUGGUGGUGGAAAGAUUUUUUGGUUGGGGAUGGACUCGCGGCCUAUCAGCUUGUUGGUGAGGUAAUGGCUCACCAAGGCGACGACGGGUAGCCGGCCUGAGAGGGUGACCGGCCACACUGGGACUGAGACACGGCCCAGACUCCUACGGGAGGCAGCAGUGGGGAAUAUUGCACAAUGGGCGAAAGCCUGAUGCAGCAACGCCGCGUGAGGGAUGACGGCCUUCGGGUUGUAAACCUCUUUUAGUAGGGAAGAAGCGAAAGUGACGGUACCUGCAGAAAAAGCACCGGCUAACUACGUGCCAGCAGCCGCGGUAAUACGUAGGGUGCAAGCGUUGUCCGGAAUUAUUGGGCGUAAAGAGCUCGUAGGCGGUUUGUCGCGUCUGCUGUGAAAUCCCGAGGCUCAACCUCGGGCUUGCAGUGGGUACGGGCAGACUAGAGUGCGGUAGGGGAGAUUGGAAUUCCUGGUGUAGCGGUGGAAUGCGCAGAUAUCAGGAGGAACACCGAUGGCGAAGGCAGAUCUCUGGGCCGUAACUGACGCUGAGGAGCGAAAGCAUGGGGAGCGAACAGGAUUAGAUACCCUGGUAGUCCAUGCCGUAAACGUUGGGCGCUAGAUGUAGGGACCUUUCCACGGUUUCUGUGUCGUAGCUAACGCAUUAAGCGCCCCGCCUGGGGAGUACGGCCGCAAGGCUAAAACUCAAAGGAAUUGACGGGGGCCCGCACAAGCGGCGGAGCAUGCGGAUUAAUUCGAUGCAACGCGAAGAACCUUACCAAGGCUUGACAUACACCGGAAACGGCCAGAGAUGGUCGCCCCCUUGUGGUCGGUGUACAGGUGGUGCAUGGUUGUCGUCAGCUCGUGUCGUGAGAUGUUGGGUUAAGUCCCGCAACGAGCGCAACCCUCGUUCUAUGUUGCCAGCGGGUUAUGCCGGGGACUCAUAGGAGACUGCCGGGGUCAACUCGGAGGAAGGUGGGGAUGACGUCAAAUCAUCAUGCCCCUUAUGUCUUGGGCUUCACGCAUGCUACAAUGGCCGGUACAAAGGGCUGCGAUACCGUAAGGUGGAGCGAAUCCCAAAAAGCCGGUCUCAGUUCGGAUUGAGGUCUGCAACUCGACCUCAUGAAGUCGGAGUCGCUAGUAAUCGCAGAUCAGCAACGCUG
rnacentral:rRNA from 1 species